AGUAAUCAGUGCAAGCGGAGCUCUUUCCCUGAAUGAAUCCAAGUAACCCCAGUGGUUGCCUUCUGAAAUGAGCGGCAGCCACACAUCUGCACACAGGCUGUCCAGCGUGUAAACUCUGGUUCUAACGUACCAUGUCCAGCCGAGAGAGUCCUGCUGUGGAGUUUUCUACAACAACAGUCAGUUCAGUAGCUGUGCAGGCUGGGGACUCCAAAAUCGUUAUAGCUGUCAUAAAGUGUGGCAAAUGGGUACAACUUCAGUUGGCUGAAUCACAGCCCAAUCUUCUAGAAAUUGGAAGCAAUCAAGAUGAAACCAAAAAACUUCUUCACGAUCAUGAACUUCUUUUGGCCAAACUCAAGGCUUUGGAAGAUCGAGUAUGGGAACUCCUGCAAGAAGCAGACAGGACUGCUGAAGAGAACAAGGAUCAGAGUCAGGUCUAUGAUGCCAUGGCCGAGACGCUGGGUGAAGCAUGGGCAGCCCUGGUAUCCAUGCUUGAGAGGAGGAGGGAACUUCUCAGAUUGACCUCUGAAUUUUUUGAAAAUGCCUUGGAGUUUGCCAUUAAAAUAGACCAAGCAGAAGAUUUCCUCCAGAACACUCAGGAGUUUGAGAGUGCCGAGGCCUUGAAAUCACUCCUUCAACUUCAUGAACAUCAUACCAAAGAACUCUUAGAACGAUCUCUAGCCCUUUUAAACAAAAGUCAAGAACUCACUGACUUCAUAGAAAAAAUCAAGAGUGAUGGACCCAAUGUAAAUGCUGAGAUGAUUCAGGGAGCUCAAAACAGCUGCCUGAAGAUUGACAGUCUUCUUGAACUUCUCCAAGACAGGAGGCGGCAACUAGACAAGUACCUGAAGCAACAGCAGCAGGAACUGAGUCAGGUUCUGCAGAUGUGUCAGUGGGACCAACAGGAAAGUCAGGUCACUUGUUGGUUUCAGAAAACUAUAAGAGAUUUAGAGGAACAAGGUCUAGGUACAUCUCUUUCAGACAAUGAGGAGCUUAUUCGUAAGCACGAGGAACUGAUAAUAAAAGCAAAGGAAUGGAAUGCUGUGAUCGAGACGCUGAAGAGUGAGGCGCUGGAGCUUCUCCUUUCCAAGGAGCAUGUGCAGAGCGAACACCUGCAGCUCUCUAACCAGAAACUGAAUCAGCUUCAAGAGGAGUUUGGUCAUCUUAUGGAGGAAAGGAAAAGCUGGUUAAGAAAGGCAAAUGAGUUUUUUAACAGCGCAAACAAGGCAUUUGAUGCACUUGGAAGAGUUGAAGCUUACCUUAAGCUCCUUAAAUCAGAGGGUUUAAGUCUGCCUGUCUUGGCGGCGAGGCAUGAGGAAUUACACAGAGAAAUUAAAGACUGCACAGCUGAUGCUUUGCAGAAAGGACAAGCCUUGAUCAGCCAACUAGCUUCCUGCAGCUCUCGGCUGACCGGUGUCCGUGAGAUUAUGGGCUGCCUUGGAAGACGGGUAGAACAUUUGACUGAACAGUGUUCGGCGCACAGGGAAUUUGCUCUUAAGAGACAGCAAUUCACAGCCUCGGUGGAGGGCCGCCUAAGAGAGGUUGAAAUGUCCAUUCAGAAAAUCAGCACAAUACUUUCCAAUGCAAUGGAUGUUGGUUCCAGCCUUUCUGAAUCAGAGAAGAUUUUGAGUAAAUAUCUGGAACUAGAUAAACAAGCUAAGGAGACAUCACAUGAAUUAGAAGCAGCUGCAAAACUCUUGACAGAGAAACAUGAUUUUGAACUUGAUGAACUGGCAUCGCUUUCUUCUAAGGCUAAAUGGCUAGAGGAAGAAUUAAACAUAUUUGGCCAAAGCAUCAACUCCAGGUCACAAGUCCUGCAAACUUAUGUGGCAUUUCUAAAGUCAUCAGAGGAGGUAGAGAAGCAAUGUCAGGGCCUAAAGGAGUUUUACCAAACUGAUAUCCUACGAAAGGAGGAGGGCGGUGCUGAAGCCAAGCAUUGGUCUGACUCAGUGGAGAAGCAGUGGCAGCUAUUUUUAAAGAGGAGUUUUUUAACGCAUGACCUUGGGCUCGAGUUCCUUAAUUUAAUAAAUAUGGCAAAAGAAAAUGAAAUAUUAAAUGUGAAAAAUGAAGUACACAUCAUGGAGAACACUAUGGAAAGCCAGAAGGUGGAAAGGGAAGAACUCAGCCGCCUUCGGACGGCCUGGCAACUUAAAGCCGCUGCAAGCAAGCCCGUGAAACAGCAGUGGGCAGCAUUCAAAGAGCAGCUUAGAAAGACCACACACAACUUAAAACUUCUUCAGGAAGCGCUUAUGCCUGUGUCUGCACUUGACCUUGGAGGGAGUCUCCAGACCAUUUUAGGUCUACGGAAAAAAUGGAAUGAAAUGAAGCCUCAGUUCCAGCAACUGAAUGAUGAGGUUCAGUAUAUUAUAAAAGAGUCAGAAGAGUUAAAUGGCAAAGGAGCACCUGUGAAAGAAAAGUCUCAACAGCUGAAGGACCUUAUUCACUUCCAUCAAAACCUGAAACAGAGAAUCCGAGAUUACGAGGACAUCCUAUAUAAGAUUAUCCAGUUCCACCAAGUCAGAGAAGAGAACUGCUCUAACGUUUCUGCAAAGAACCUGCAGGAACAGCUGGACAUGCUUGAAGGGGACUGUCUGACCUGGCGUGCCCAGACCGAGGACCAUGAGCGGGCCCUGACCCGCAGCCUGGAGUUCUGCAUUACAAGGGAUGAGAUAGGCGAGCUCAAAGAAUCAUUCAAGGAAAUAAAAAAGAAAUUCAACAAUUUGAAGUUUAAUUACACUAAGAAAAAUGAAAAAGCUCGAAAUCUAAAAGCUCUCAAAUAUCAAAUUCAACAAGUGGAUAUAUAUGCUGAAAAACUACAGGCUUUGAAAAGGAAAAUGGAAAAAGUUGAGAAUAAAACUUCUUUCUUAAAUUAUCCAAAUAAUAACGUGAAUAUCCUUUUGGAAGCCAUGAGGGAUUUGCAGAAGCAUGUGGAUGAAUUUGACAAAGUUGUAACAGAUUACAGGAAGAAUUUGGACCUGGCCGAGCAUCUCCAGGAGUUGAUAGAAGAGUGUCACUUUUGGUAUGAAGAUGCAAGUGCCACAGUUGUAAGAGUUGGAAAGUAUUCCACAGAGUGCAAGACCAAGGAGGCAGUGGAGAUCCUCCACCAGCAGUUCAAAAAGUUUAUCACACCCUCAGUGCCUCAGCAAGAAGAAAGGAUUCAGGAGAUCAGUGACCUCGCUCAGCGCUUAUACGGUUUUGAAGAAGGGCAGAAAUAUGCUGAGAAAAUAAUGGCCAAACACAAAGAAGUUCUUGAAUCUGUCACUGAAUUAUGUAGCUCUCUCACAGAGCUUGAAGAAAAGCUGAAGCAGGGAGAUGUUUUAAAGUUGAAUCUGAAUUUGGAAGACUUCCAUGAUGACUGCAUUGACCUACUAAAAGGACCAGAGAGAAAUAAGCAGAUUAUAUUCAAUGAUGAACACAAUAAGGAGCAGGCCCAGCCAGCAGCCACCUUGGCCGUCAAUGGAGCACGAAAGGGUCAGCUUCCACAGGGCGUAAAGCAGCUGGUCCCCAGCAAAGAGAGUGCCCAAGGCCUGCUUCUGCCUGUGGACGUGCUUUCAGGAGAAGAAUAUGAGUGUGUUUCACCCGACGACAUCUCCCUGCCUCCAGUCCCAGGAAGCCCUGAUUCUCUCCUCACUCCGUCUGACAUGGAGCUGGAGGCGCGUGUCAGCCCGUUCCCCUGCCAUCACCUAAGCGGCCACCAGAUGCAGAUGGGGGCCAGCGGUCCAGGAGAGGCCCCGGAAUCUGGCUUUCCUCCACCUGCUGCUUUUGCUGAUGCUUGCAAUAAGAGAGAAACGUUUUCAAGUCAUUUUGAGAAGCCUUCCCCCCAGGUCCAACCUGAGCCCCCAUUAACAUCCCAAGGAUUUCUGGAAAAGAGUACUGCCUUCCACAAAAUCAGUGCUCAACUUCCAGAGAGCAUGUGCAGUGAAGUGCAUGACAGAGCUUCGCAACAGCACCCCCAGGCUCAGGGGCAUUUGCUAGAAACACCAGAGAAAAUGCAUGCUGAUAAUAACGUCACUAAAACCCGAAAUAGGCUGCAUGCUUCCCAGGAUGCAUUCUCAGGCCUCGGGUUUCACCCAGGGCCCAGCCAGGCCUGUCAGAGGCAAAUGGUUCCCCGAGAAGAGAUGAUAAGUACAGCAGCUAAGACCAGCAUGGUCAGCCUAGCUGGCCGGGCCCCUAAUUUCUCCAGGCUCCUGUCUAACGUAACUGUCAUGGAAGGUUCUCCAGUGACUUUGGAAGUCGAAGUAACAGGAUUUCCAGAGCCUACACUGACAUGGUACAAGAAGGGCCAGAAACUGUCUGCAGAUGGGCAUUUGCAGGUUUUACACGAGGAGACAAGACACUUGGUCUUCAUUCCGAAGGCAUGCGAGGCAGACGCAGGCCUCUAUGUGGCGCGGGCCCAAAACCCUAGCGGCAUUCUCUCUUCCAGUGUCAUCCUCCACGUGACAGGUAACUGCAGGCCGCUCAUCACGAGGAUAAACUGGAUCGUGCUGUGUGUCAUCUAUGUUACCGUGUCCCUGAUGUACUGGCUACUCACACAGUAA
rnacentral:lncRNA from 1 species